CAAUCUAUGUUCAUGUUCAAAUCUGAUGAGCUUACUAUACCAAUCAUGGCCUAAUCGAUAUUGUCUAGGUUCCUGAUCUGCUUGUGGUGUUAGUUUUUUUUUGAGCUUGUGGUGUUAAUUGUGAGGUGCGGUAGAGUCUUGUAGCAAUGUCGGCAACAAAUCUUUGGAGUAAUGUCGAUGAUCCUCCCUCGGCACGGACAUAGAUGCACGAUAUGUAGCUUGAUAUGCAAAACAAUGGAUAGAUUUAUAUUUAUAAACAUAAAUUUAUUUUAAUUUUAGUGGCACUGGCAAGUAAUUUAUAAACAUGUAUAUUGGUAUUUUAUGCUAAUUUUUUCGUAAUGACAGUGAUGAAUACUUUUAUUUUUUUUUCUCUGAUUAAUGUGGGAAUUUUUAGAUCUUGAGAGCGAACGUGGAAGCUCUGUUUGUUGGUCAAUAAUAAAAUAAUAGAUUGAGGUGGGGAUGCUCUCCCCCUGUGACUAUUAAAAAAACAAGCAAAUAUCAGUCAUAGGGUAAUUGCACACUACACUUGAUGUUGCUUCACUCUCGGUUACUUGAAAGUUUGUCUCAUGAACUGCAAGUUUGCUUUCCUUGCAUGCCUGGCUGGCUGAAAAAAUUGAAUGAAGAUUGUGAUCGACCAUUAUAUAUUGUUUGCCUCUUUUGCGGUUCGAAUAUGUAGCUCAUCUAAGCUUCAGCUCCUAGCAAGCUAUAUACUGAAAUGAUCACAUCAUAAUGUAACCAUGAAAGUAAUUGCUUGUUUGCGAGAAAGUACUCGUAUGGUUGGUUGACGUGCUUGUAUUUACAACAAAAGCUUAACUGCAGAGUAGUACACCAUCCAUUACUCAUCCUGUUCGGCUGGCUAGUGGCUAGUGCUGAUUUGUUGCGAGAGAAAAGUACUGUUGACUGGCUGGUGCUGAUUUAUUGUGAGAAAAAACACUGUUGGAUGGUUGGCUGACCAACCAGCCAAACAAACUGACUGAUAUGAGAGGAACUUGUGAGCUAAGUUGCGUAGUUAUCUUUUUACAGCAAAAGCACAGUCAGGAGUUAAAUCUCUUUCCAGUUGCCUUAAAAAAAACUGUAGUAUUUUUCACCGGCUAAUAAUAAUUUCUGUUUCAUUUUGGGCGAGGACGACCUCAGCGUCAAUCUCAGCGAAUAGUCAAGAUGUUGUACUGCGAAUAAGAACUUUUUUCUCAGAUUCCCCUGCCCGAAGAAUCAAGAAAAAACUGUGUUUCGUUUAUCCAAUUGAACAGUACAAUUGUAUUCGUUGAUGGGGCGAAGGAUCAGAAGAAUUGUCGAGGGUCAAGGAGAACAGACAAAAUUACUGGUCCAGUCUCGGACUGCUGUGCAGUCAGUACAGCUUCAUUUGUAAGUGAUCUAGUUCAUCAUAGCUCAAGUCUCCAUCUUAGUGUUUUGCAAUGCUCAAAACCCAUAAUGCUUCUUGGAUUUGAAGCACAGUUGUCCAGAUUACAUAUUAUUAGUAUGACAAUUUCAGUUUCUCCGUCUUAAUCACUGUAAUAAAGCAUGUUCAGAUCUUGCGUUUUCUUGAAGACUUGUACUGCUAGUCAUGUAAAUCUGAUGAUAUCACCACUCUUGUGCUUUCCAAUAAAGUAUUAAAGUAGGUAAAUUGUUUUUC